rnacentral:rRNA from 2 species
GAUGAACGCCGGCGGUGUGCCUAAUGCAUGCAAGUCGAACGCGUUGGCCCAAUUGAUUGAUGGUGCUUGCACCUGAUAGAUUUUGGUCGCCAACGAGUGGCGGACGGGUGAGUAACACGUAGGUAACCUGCCCAGAAGCGGGGGACAACAUUUGGAAACAGAUGCUAAUACCGCAUAACAACGUUGUUCGCAUGAACAACGCUUAAAAGAUGGCUUCUCGCUAUCACUUCUGGAUGGACCUGCGGUGCAUUAGCUUGUUGGUGGGGUAAUGGCCUACCAAGGCGAUGAUGCAUAGCCGAGUUGAGAGACUGAUCGGCCACAAUGGGACUGAGACACGGCCCAUACUCCUACGGGAGCAGCAGUAGGGAAUCUUCCACAAUGGGCGCAAGCCUGAUGGAGCAACACCGCGUGAGUGAAGAAGGGUUUCGGCUCGUAAAGCUCUGUUGUUAAAGAAGAACACGUAUGAGAGUAACUGUUCAUACGUUGACGGUAUUUAACCAGAAAGUCACG